GAUGAACGCUGGCGGCGUGCCUAAUACAUGCAAGUCGAGCGAACGGACGAGAAGCUUGCUUUUCUGAUGUUAGCGGCGGACGGGUGAGUAACACGUGGAUAACCUACCUAUAAGACUGGGAUAACUUCGGGAAACCGGAGCUAAUACCGGAUAAUAUUUUGAACCGCAUGGUUCAAAAGUGAAAGACGGUCUUGCUGUCACUUAUAGAUGGAUCCGCGCUGCAUUAGCUAGUUGGUAAGGUAACGGCUUACCAAGGCAACGAUGCAUAGCCGACCUGAGAGGGUGAUCGGCCACACUGGAACUGAGACACGGUCCAGACUCCUACGGGAGGCAGCAGUAGGGAAUCUUCCGCAAUGGGCGAAAGCCUGACGGAGCAACGCCGCGUGAGUGUUGAAGGUCUUCGGAUCGUAAAACUCUGUUAUUAGGGAAGAACAUAUGUGUAAGUAACUGUGCACAUCUUGACGGUACCUAAUCAGAAAGCCACGGCUAACUACGUG
rnacentral:rRNA from 1 species